AUUGGUGUAAAAGUAAUUGCAGAUUAUGCCAUCAAAAGUAAUGGUAAAAACUGCAAUUACUUUUACAUUAAC
ensembl:miRNA